GUGGGGAAUCUUGCGCAAUGGGCGAAAGCCUGACGCAGCCAUGCCGCGUGAAUGAUGAAGGUCUUAGGAUUGUAAAAUUCUUUCACCGGGGACGAUAAUGACGGUACCCGGAGAAGAAGCUCCGGCUAACUUCGUGCCAGCAGCCGCGGUAAUACGAAGGGGGCUAGCGUUGCUCGGAAUUACUGGGCGUAAAGGGCGCGUAGGCGGACAGCUUAGUCAGAGGUGAAAGCCCAGGGCUCAACCUUGGAAUUGCCUUUGGUACUGGCUGUCUUGGUUUUGGGAGAGGUGAGUGGAACUCCGAGUGUAGAGGUGGAAUUCGUAGAUAUUAGGAAGAACACCAGUGGCGAAGGCGGCUCACUGGUCCGGUACUGACGCUGAGGUGCGAAAGCGUGGGGAGCAAACAGGAUUAGAUACCCUUGUAGUCC
rnacentral:rRNA from 1 species